CCCCGGCGCCCCGAGUGGCCAUCGCGAUUAUUGGGCCUAAAGCGUCCGUAGCCGGUUCGGCAAAUCCCUUGUGAAAUCGUUGCGCUUAACGUGACGGCGCGCAGGGGACACUACCGAACUCGGGACCGGGAGGGGUCAGAGGUAUGUCGUGGGGACUGGUAAAAUGGGAUAAUCCACGAUAGACCACCGAUGGCGAAGGCAUCUGACCAGAACGGGUCCGACGGUGAGGGACGAAAGCCAGGGGA
rnacentral:rRNA from 1 species